CCCGUCAGCUGCUUGGGAAAGAGCUUCAGUCUGUUCCCACGUCGCUAGAAAUGAAUCGGAUCCAGGGUCUUCCCCAAAAGAGGCCAUAUUGGAGGGAUCACUAUUCUGUGUCACCCCAUCAUCUGCUCCAAAAGGAUGGGUUCUGCGGGAUUAUGGAAUCACGGCAUUGUAGAAUCACGGAAUUGUGGCAUUGUGGAGUCAUAGAAUCAUGGAAAUGUAGCAUCAUAGAAUUGUGGAAUCAUGGGGACAUGGAAUCAUAGAAUCAUGGAAUCAUAGAAUUGUGGAAUCAUGGAAUCAUGGGAACAUGGAAACAUGGAAUCACAGAAUCAUGGAAUUAUAGAAUCGUGGAAUCAUGAAAUUAUGGAAACAUGGCAUCAUAGAAUCGUGGAGUCAUGGAAACAUGGAAUCAUGGCAUCAUAGUAUCAUGGAAUCAUGAAAUCACAGAAUCAUAGAAUCAUAGAAACAUGGAAUCAUGGAAACGUGGCAUCAUAGAAUCGUGGAAUCAUGGGGACAUGGAAUCAUAGAAUCGUGGAAUCAUAGAAUCGUGGAAUCUUGGAAUCAUGGGAACAUGGAAAUAUGGAAUCAUAGAAUCAUGGAAUUAUAGAAUUCUGGAAUCAUGGAAUUAUGGAAACAUGGCAUCAUAGAAUCGUGGAGUCAUGGAAACAUGGAAUCAUGGCAUCAUAGUAUCAUGGAAUCAUGAAAUCACAGAAUCAUAGAAUCAUAGGAACAUGGAAUCAUGGAAACGUGGCAUCAUAGAAUCGUGGAAUCAUGGGGACAUGGAAACAUGGAAUCAUAGAAACAUGGCCUCAGAGAAUCAUGGAAUCAUGGAAUCAUGGAAACAUGGCAUCAUAGAAUCAUGGAAUCAUGGAAUCAUAGAAUCCCUCACUGGAAAGGAUUUCACAGGCUGAUGAGGCCAUGCCUGGAGCAGGGCAAAGCACCUCCAUUUCCUUUUGUUCCAGAGUGGGUUUGGGUUUUGAAGGUGGUCAGCAGAGCUGCAUCCAUUUUGGUGCAUGCGUGUAUUGCUGCUCGUGUGGGCCGCACACGUGAGCCUCUCCCAUUUGUUCUAGUGCCU
rnacentral:lncRNA from 1 species